rnacentral:tRNA from 1 species
GUUCCAGUGGUGCAAUCGGUUAGCGUGGUACUUAUAUGACAGUAUGUUGUGAGCUAUGCCAAGGUUGUGAGUUCGAGCCUCACCUGGAGCAGUUUUUCUGCCC